GUGUUUAACCAAGAUGGGCGGGGCAGCCCUGAGGACUAGGGUUUAAAGUAGAUGUGUCAUGCUGUCGCCAAGCAGACGGCGUAUCAAUCAACAUGAUUCCCAUUGUUCUGGCCUCAGUGCUCAUCGCUAGUGCCUUCGGGUGCGGCACCCCUCCUAUUGAGCCUCUGACCACCCGUGUGGUCAAUGGAGUCGACGCCAAGCCUCACAGCUGGCCCUGGCAGAUCUCUCUGCAGUAUGAGAGGGACGGUGAGUGGAGACACACCUGUGGAGGAUCUCUGAUUGCCACCAACUGGGUCAUGACCGCUGCGCACUGUAUCAACCUCAACCUGUCCUACAGAGUGUUCGUUGGAAAGCACAACCUGGUUGAGACUGAGGAAGGCUCCCAGGCCAUCAUCCCUGAGAAGCUUGUUGUCCAUGAGAAGUGGAACCCCAUCUUUGUGGCCUUCGGAAAUGACAUUGCCCUGAUCAAGUUGUCUGAGCAUGUGACCCUGACUGACCAUGUGCAGCUUGGCUGUAUCCCUGCUGCUGGCACUGUGCUGGACAACCAGUACCCCUGUUACAUCACUGGCUGGGGAAGGGUCUACAGUAAGCCUCUCUCUGUGUGUGUGUGUGUGUGUGUGUGUGUGUUUGAUGAUCACUUUCAUGUGUGUUCCUGUAGGGUAACUAGCUGCAGAUUGACAUGUGUGUGUGUUUUAGCCGGAGGCCCCAUUGCUGAUAACCUGCAGCAGGCUCUGAUGCCUGUGGUGGACCACGCCACCUGCUCCAAGCCCGACUGGUGGGGAAUUGCUCUCAGGACCACCAUGGUGUGUGCCGGAGGAGAUGGCAUUGUCGCUGGCUGUAACGUGAGUACCCCUGGGAGAUGUGAGAGGCAGAGAGACACAGAGAAAGAAAAAGAGAAACAGAGAGUAUGUAUUGUGUGUGAUAUGUGUGUUUGUGCAUGAGCAUAUUUUUUGUUUGUUUGUUUAUAUAUAUGUGUGUGUGUGUGUGUGUGUGUGUGUGUGUGUGUGUGUGUGUGUGUGUGUGUGUGUGUGUGUGUGUGUGUGUGUGUGUGUGUGUGUGUGUGUGUGUGUGUGUGUGUGUGUGUGUGUGUGCCUGUGUACAUGUGAGUGUUUAUGUGUUACUGUUAGUGUUUGUGUUGUGUGUGUGAGAGUGGGGGUGUGAGAGUAACACAUUAGUGAAUUACAUUCACUCCUCUACGUAUUUUUUUGUACAGUGAUGCUAAAAGAUUUAAUUUGGCUCUAUGCUCAAGCAUUUUGGAUUUGAGAGGAAAUGCUUCUUAUGAGGCGAUAGUACCGGAUUUCACCUUUUAAUUGAUAGUAUUUUCAUACAUAUCUGUUCCACCGUUUAGAAAUGAAAGCACUUUCUGUACAGUUUCAAAUCCCCCCAUUUGCAUUUGGACAAAUUCACUUAGAGUGUAUUAAAGUACUCAAAGAAUGUAGUAUUUGGUCCCAUUUUCAUAGGACGCAAUGACUACAUCAUGCUUGUGACUACAAACUUGUUGGAUGCAUUUGCAGUUUGUUGUGGUUGUGUUUCGGAUUAUGUAGUGUCUCUUUCUCACUCAUCAUUAUUCACAAUUCAUUCAUGAUUGUCCGUAACUAUGGUAGCAUCCACAUUAACGUAGUAGAUUUCAGAAACUAAUUCUAUUGUUAUUUACAAUACAAGCGUCUCCAAAAUGACACAAUACAUAAUUUACCAUUAAUUAUUUUGGGCAUAACAUAACAAAACAAACCAAAACAAAAUGCAAAUGCAUCCAACAAGUUCAUAGAGUCACAAGCUUGGAAUAUGGGACUAAAAACUACAAGUUUUGACUACUUUAAUACACAUUAAGUGAAUACGUAUGGGGACAAGAUACAUAAAAUGCUUUCAGCUCUAAACUCUAAAUACUCUCUAAUAAAGGUUACAUUCUGUACUGUCACCUCAUAUGAAAUAUUUUAUUUCAAAUCCAAAAUGCUUGCAUAGAGAUACUAUUUUUAGCUUCAGUGUUCAAAUAGAUGUAUCUUUCUCAACACCCCUUGGGUGCGGCAACCUUCCCAUCGAGCCUCUGACCACCCAUGUGGUCAAUUGAGUGGACACCAAGCCCUACAUAGUUUUAAUUUGAAUGAAAUGUUUCAUAUCCAAAUAAAUGCAUAGAUAUCCAAAUAAAUGCAUAGAUAUCCAAAUAAAUGCAUAGAUAUCCAAAUAAAUGCAUAGAUAUCCAAAUAAAUGCAUACAGUGGUUAUCAUGUAUAACAUGUUAUAACAUGUUAUCAAGUAUUUACACACCUUGGAUAUUUUUUCACAAUUUGUUGAUUUACAAAGUGGCAUUAAAAUGGAUCUACACAAAAUACUCCAUAAUGUCAAAGUGAAAAGAACAUUUGUACAGAUGUUUACCAAUUAAUAGAAAUGUAAUAACUAAAAUACACAUCUUGUAUGCAACAAGACACUAAAGUAAUAUUGCAAAACUACAUGGCAAAGGAAUAUACUUUUUGUCCUAAAUGCAAAGUUUUAUCUUUGGGGCAAAUCCAACACAACACAUCACUGAGUAACUGCCUCCUUAUUGUCAAGUUUGGUGAUGGCUGCAUUAUGGUAUGGGUGUACUUGACAUCGGCGAAGACUGGGGAGUUUUUCAGAAUGGAGCUAAGCACAGGCGAAAUCCUAGAGAAAAACCUGCUUCAGUCUGCUUUACACUAGACACUGGGAGAGUAAUUCACCUUUCAGCAGGACAAUAACCUACAACACAAGGCCAAAUCUAUCUACCAAGAAGACAGUCAAUGGCCAAGUUACAGUUUUGACUUAAAUCUGCUUGAAAAUCUAUGGCAAGACUUAAAAAUUGCCAUCUAGUCAUAAUCCCCAAAACCACAGAGCUUGAAGAAUUGUGAAAAGAAUAAUGGGCAGAUAUUGCACAAUCCAGAUGUACAAAGGUCUUAGAGACGUAGUCAAUGAGGCUCUCAGCUGUAAUCACUGCCAAAGGUGUUUCUAACACGUAUUGACUCAUGUUUACAUUUUUCUUCCAUUUACAAAGUAUUUUGUGAGAUCAUUGAUUUAUAUUGACAAUUUAAUCUAUUUUAAUCCCACUGUGUAAUGCAAUAAAAUGUGAAGAAAUCCAAGGGGGGGGUGAAUAUAUGCCUUGUUGCAUGUCUUUGGUUAAGUAUGAAAUCAAUUCCCUCUUCUUCUCCUAUAGGGUGACUCUGGUGGGCCCCUGAACUGCAAGAACCCAGAGGGAGUAUGGGAGGUCCAUGGUAUUGCCAGCUUUGUUUCUGGUCUGGGCUGCAACUACGCGAAGAAGCCCACCGUCUUCACCCGCGUCUCCAACUUCAAUGACUGGAUCGACCAGGCUAUGAUGAGCAACUAAAGUGGAGCAGAAUGGGGAAUUGAGUCCAAUAAAAAAGGACUCAGCAAAAUGGCUUUGUGAUGUAUUUUAUGUUCAUGCCACAAGAUGUCCUCAGUCACUCAAGAUAAAGAGAAGUGAUUUCCAUAAGAUGUUUCCGUUGUUGGAGGUCUAUCUAUACAUGUAUCUCCAUACAUUCAGUACUUGAUCAA